CUUGCUUUCUGGGAAAGUGGCGCACGGGUGCGUAACGCGUAUGCAACCUACCUUAAUCAGGGGGAUAGCCUCCGAAAGAGAGAUUAACACCGCAUAAAAUCACACUUCGGCAUCGAAGAAUGAUCAAAUAUUUAUAGGAUUAAGAUGGGCAUGCGUGACAUUAGUUUGUUGGUGAGGUAACGGCUCACCAAGACUACGAUGUCGUAGGGGAUCUGAGAGGAUCGACCCCCACACUGGUACUGAGACACGGACCAGACUCC
rnacentral:rRNA from 1 species